UGUCCCUUCGGGGACAUCCGAGUAAAAUUGGAACGAUACCGAGAAGAUUAGCAUGGCUCUCGCGCAUAGUGAUGACGCACAACAAGAAAUGGUCCAAAAAUUU